UACAGAGGUCUCAAGCGUUGUUCGGAUUCAUUGGGCGUAAAGGGUGCGUAGGUGGCGCGGUAAGUCGGGUGUGAAAUCUCGGAGCUUAACUCCGAAAUUGCAUUCGAUACUGCCGUGCUUGAGGACUGGAGAGGAGACUGGAAUUCAUGGUGUAGCAGUGAAAUGCGUAGAGAUCAUGAGGAAGACCAGUGGCGAAGGCGGGUCUCUGGACAGUUCCUGACACUGAGGCACGAAGGCGAGGGGAGCAAACGGG
rnacentral:rRNA from 1 species